rnacentral:tRNA from 1 species
GGGCGGUCAGUUCAGAUGGCCGGAACGCUGCCGAGGUGCACCGACGCUCACCGACGCAGAGAGACAGGUUCGACUCCUGUGCCGCCCA